UCGCGAGCUUCGGCUCCUAUCGGAUCGUUUUAGAAACAUCAGUGGCCAGCAAUCGUCAGGAUUGUUGAGCUGCAUUGGCGGGAUUUCGCCGUCUUCGUUUCUCUUUCUUCGCGGACGAACACGCGCUGGGGCUGCAGGUUUGCAGAGUCCCUGGUCCUUGACUGGAUAUGCGUUAGGGGCUUGUAGCUCAGUUGGUUAGAGCGCGCGCUUGAUAAGCGUGAGGUCGGAAGUUCAAGUCUUCCCAGGCCCACCACUUUCAUCGAGUGAGCAUUCGUCUUCUGGUUACGGGGCCAUAGCUCAGCUGGGAGAGCGCGUGCUUUGCAAGCAUGAGGUCGUCGGUUCGAUCCCGUCUGGCUCCACCAGAUGGUUUGAUCAUCGACUGAUCGUGCACCUAAAUCGUCCGCGAAACAUCACUUCGCAUCUUGCUAGUCUGGAUAGACAGCAAGUUGCGUGAUUUCUGACAUCGUAAAGAGGAGAUCGAUCCGAGUUGGAUCGUGCAGCAAGCAAUUGCUACGCGAGACUUCAUUAUCUCCGGAUCAUUUCGGCGCUCGUGCGUCUUUCAAGGGCAGCUCACAAGGCUGCUUCUGGAGAGACAAGCGAGUUGUAAAUGAUCCUUUUAGCGAAGCUUGACCGCCUCGCUAUCGGAACGAUCUUACGAAGCAAGCUGGUCUUUCUAAUCAUUGUCCGGCUGCAGAUAGCGUUCAUCGAGGGCGCGUGCCGCAAGGUAAUUCUGCAGACAACAUUCUGCCGAGUGUGUGGACAUUGAUAAUGAGAGCAAUCAAGUGCCUUAAGGGUGUUCGGUGGAUGCCUUGGCGCUGAGAGGCGAUGAAGGACGUGCUACGCUGCGAUAAGCCGUGGGGAGCUGCGA
rnacentral:misc_RNA from 1 species